rnacentral:lncRNA from 1 species
CUUGUUCAACUGCAAGCCCAAAGGACUAGGCUCGUCUAGUGGAUUGUACUGCAACGACGGCAUUGAAGAUUCAUGGUCCUUAAAGCUCCAAUUCAUAGAAAAACCAAAAAGGAAAAAAGAGUAAACAUGACAAAUUUUAUUUAACUGAAAAGUCAAGUUUAAGAGAAAAAUGAUUCUUGUAGGGUGUCAAACAAAUCAUGCCAGUUAAUUCAAGGACAUCUGUUAUCAUCCUUUACAAUUCUUAUUAACUGCACAAAUUUCUUGCCUAUGCUCUCAAUUCAGCUGCUGACAAUGAACCUCAUAACAUAUUUAAUGCUAGACACGCGUCGAAGGUGUAACACUUGUGAAUUUGAAAUAUACACAUACACCUAUACCUCGUAUAAUAACAAAGUUAUAAGCAGACCAGAACAAUAAUCAAAACAAACAAAAUGGGGUCAAAACUGUCUAACUAUUGUUUAAAAAAAAAAAAAAAAAUAGAAAAGGGAUAAGUCAGGCGAUCACUUUUUCACAUAAACCCAAUUUCAAUUCGUAUCCCUAUCCAUUAUUUAUUAUAUAUAUUAUACACACACACGCGUAUAUCAUAUACACAGAGAGGGAGAGAAAGUUAGGGAGGGAAUGAAACAGGUAAAAAAAAGGAAGGAGAGAGAGAAAAGAAGAAGAAAAAGAGAAAGGAAGAGAACCAAGCAGUGGACUUCAAUUUAGUGUCAAGGAAGUGUAGAAAUACUGUAAAAUCCAAGAGAAGUAAAGGAAGAUAUUCAAGCUUGGUCCUAUUUCAUUCUCCAAUUGCAGUUCAAGUAUAGAAUGAAGACAAUUUUUAGACAUUGUUAAUGCUUAUUUGCAAUUGGAAAUUGGGGAAAAAGGAUCUAACGAAUUGAAGAAGAAAGUGGCAGAGGUUUAAAAUUUUUGUGUUCGGUUUUUAACGGUCGUAUUUCGUUGUAGUCUGUGAAAAGAAAAUAGAGAGCAUCUGAAGUAGAUAAAUAGUGAGGGAGAAAGAAAGGAAUAGAAUUUGGUCAUAUUUCAUACCUCAGUUUCAGCUCAACGUGAGGAAAAUUCACAGCUUCAGGAAUCAAUUAAUUGUUGGGUAAAGAUCUGGAACUUAACAAACAAAAACAAGAAGCAAGGGAUGGAUAAUUAGAGUUUAAUUAAGUCGAUUUAUAGAGUACAGAAUUCAACCAUUUGUAUAUUUCAACGUUAGCACAUCAAAAUGAAAAUGGAAUGAAAUGUUUCCGAUCACUUUAUUCCCGACUGGACACAAAGUGGAACUACAUUGGUAGCUUGAUGUGUGUGCCACACUAGAUGAAAUCUAAUGAUCAAAUAGGCCUAGAUUACUAAGGAAAGUGAAAUUAGUAUUUUAUCAGAUGUACUAUAAAUUGGCAAUUCAAUUUUGACCUGAAUAAUUCUAUUAUUAUCUCAUACGGCGAAACACAGAUUGGGAUAGCCUACCAAAAACUUAAAUAAUUUCAAAGUAUUUAUGAAUUAAGUAAAUUAUUAAUUAUGUGAUUUAUUUGUUUAUUUAUAUGAUUAUCAUGAAAGUUUCCUUUACUAUGAUACAUGUGAAAUUUCAAAGAUUGUAUAUGGUACAUUGCGAAUUGGAAUAUGAGACGUGAUAUUGAAAUCGACCAGAAAAGUAACAAUGAUUAUAUACUUAUUCUAGUUCACCUAGGGUCUUGGACCGUGGACAAAGAGAUGUUGGCCGUGUAUAUAUAGUUCACUGAGAAGUCUUGACCGUGCUCCAGAAUUGACUAUCAGAUGUCUUGAGAUCCGCUUUCGUUCCCGGAGGGGGCCAAAAACCUAGGGCGAAAGUUUUUAGCCCGAAUCGCGGAUUACAAAUUUUAAUCAGAUGGUACUUUUUUUGGAUUACAUGUGGUGUGAUGAGAUGAUAUUAUAAAUUUAAUUUGAGGAUUAUAUCAUGACUAUGAGAUUAUAUAUUUCAACGUUAUGAGGAUGCCUCACAUCUUGACUAUUAUUAUACAUUAUUAUAUUUUGGACUGUUAAAUAAUGUAAACUCGAUUUUCAAUAAAGAUUUUUAAAUGGAAAAGUAUAAUCAUUUUCAAACUUUUCCACUCACUGAGAUAUCAAUUCAUACUUUUCCAUAAUUUUUUCUACAGGCAAGUAGCAAUUGGUUCUUUAUAGCUGAAGGAGCCUAAUGAUUUCAAAGCGAUAGCCACAAACAUAUUGAAUGUUAUGAUUCAUAUUGAUGAAGCGCGAAAUAAAUAUUUUGGGCCCAUCGAAUUAUAUUUUACAUAAACAUUUGAUUUUAGCGCAUUUUUGUACUAACUCAUAGUAGCUUUGGUGAUAGAUUUGACAUCUAGUCAAUAUUUAUUGUCAGUGCGCAUCACGUUUCGGGUCCACUGGGAUAAUUCGGGACGGGUCGUGUUACCUCAUCUCCACGGCUUACCUAAAAUGUGGAAACUAAAAGUUAACAUAGUCAAUUCUGUGGUUGCUAAUAAAUUAUUGAGGGUGGUUGUCAUUAGUGUUCCGCAGUGCAUCUAAGUCAUCAAUUACUGACCUUUCGCUAGCGAUCAAAGAUGGAGGACUAUUGGUGGUUGUUUGUUGGUGAUGAUCAUUUAGUACCAAGGAAAAAAGGUAAACAAAAUAGACUUAGAGCCUGUUUGGAAGUGAUUUUGAGAAUUGAUUUUUUGAUCAUUAGAAGAAAAGUGGGGUUCACCUAUGAGAGAGAAAAUCAAAUAUGACGGCUGGAAUAAUGAAAGAACGGUCAAAAAAUCAAUUUUUUGGAACAAAAAAUAACUCCCAAACAAGUUGUUAAUUAUUGAGAAGUCAAGUCUAAGUAAGAUACGAAAAAAAUCUUAAAAUUUUCAACAUAAAAAGAGAUCUAAGCCAACUAAUUCAAGGUUAUCUUUGAUCAUUCUUUAUAAUUGUCUUUUAAUGCAUUAUUUGUUGCCACGAUAGAUUCUCUCUACUCAACCGCUAACAUGAACUGCACAACUUAUUUAAUACAAGGCAAGCUAAGUGUAACGCCUGUAAAUUUGAAAUAUAUUAAAGAAUACGCCUGUACACAUACCCCUCAUUCCCUCCACGUACCCAAAAUAUAGAAACAAAAAGUCUUUAUAUUCACAUCAGUGAUUGCUGAUAAAAUCACUCAUGAGCGAUCACCAACACACUUCAAUAAAUCAGCUAUCAACAACCGAAGCACUAUAGGUUGUUGCCGACAAUGUCAUCAAUGCACCUCGAUCAUCGCUGACAGAGGAUCAUUGUUGAUGAUCAUUUAGUCCAAUAUUUUUUUGUAAUCGUUUUUUAAAAGACUCCCUCUACGAUCUUGUCUAAGAGUACUCAAGUUGAUUGAGCCGCCUCUGCUAUGAAGAAGCCAAGUUUUAAAACAGUACUUCUAGAAGAUCUCUUUUUACUCCUAAUUCUGCUUAUUUCUUUGAAGAACAAGAAAGGGAAGCAAUAUAUCAAAGAUUUUGAAUAAUAUAAUAACAGUAAAAUUACUAAAUAUGAAGCUCACUUAGAAGCUAAACAUAUAUUAACAUCAACUAAACAAUCAAAAUCAACCAUGAAGAAACAGAUUAAAAAACUUCAGAAAACCACCAAAAUGACAAAAACCAAACCUGGUUUGACAAGAUAUGGUGAUGGGUUUUGUGGAGAGAGAGAUCGUUUAAUGAGACGCACAUACUUUCCUUUUGACGAAUCAUCCAUGUUCGUCGCACUCGUAUUGCUUCCACUAAAAGGCAUAGUUUCAAAAGAAGAUUCCAUCAGCUGAACCAUGUGCAAUAUAACCAACCAAAAAAGAAGUUGAUUCCCAGACAAAUUUUAAAGUGUAAUUAAAAAAUUUCAACAAUGCAUAUAGUGUAAAACUAUUUCUUCGAAGAUCUAGGUUGUAACUUUGUUAAAGAACUCUACAUUUUCACAGAAUAGCCAUACGUGUAACUGGGAAAUUUUUU